rnacentral:snRNA from 1 species
GAAUGUGAGGGUGAUAUGGCUGUGACAUCUGUCACGCCAACGAUCACCAGGGUUGAUUCUGCUGAUCUGGCUGGCUAGGCCGGUGGCCCCUUCCUCUGUAACUGUUCCGUGUGCAUUCAUCCCAAAACUGUGUGCCCAGUGGAAGAGGAUGACCUUCCCUGAGACAGGAGGAUCAUUCUUUGGUCAAGAGCAUAUGAGUAGCUGAGCUCUCCUGCUAAACCCUCCAAACAAGCGCUCAAGGUCCAUUUGUAGGGUGGCGAAGCUUCUGAAACUCCAGAUACAUCCAAACGAGGUGCUGCCUGUGGCAGUCUGCCAUUCUUU